UUCGCCCCCUCCUCUCCUCACACCCACCUUGUCAGCGGCAGGGGAGAGAAAUCGUCGUCGGCGACCGCAGCCGGCGAGAGAACAGACCACAUCGCUCCGCGCGGAGGCGAAGCACCACCAGUUUCGAUUGAGAGGGCGACCGCUCGGCCAGUGAAGGGGAGGGAGAAGGUACAGGCGGACAAAUCGGCGACGCGAAGACGAUGAGGGCGCGGCGAGCUGCUUCGUCCCCGUGGGGAAGAGAGUACGCAACAGAAAUAGUGAAAACUAGGCAAGGACAACUUUCCCACCAUCCCUGGCAUGACAGUUUUUAAGAUGGAGGACUCCUCAGAUCAAUACGAUGGCAAGAAGCAAGGUGCAAUACAAUAGACAAGAUGCAAUUCAAGAGCCAAGAGUCAGCAGCUUUUAUUAUCUAGCAUCCAAGUUAUACAUGUGUAAAGGGGGAGACAAGAACAGGGGACAAGAAUCAAGCCAAGUUCUGAAACACUUAGGUACAGGGGCAGUUUUCGCAAGUAGUAUAUCAGGGGGGUAAGCAUAGAGGGAAAUCCACUAGUUCUAGAAUUAAAAGAAGUUCAUUAACAUUGGAACAACUUUGUUUACCUUUUGCUGUUCACUGAGAGAAAUUUGCCCAGCUCUGGUAAUUGAAUUGCCCUCAAUCUCCAGAAUUUUUGCCUGAUCAGCACGGAAGAG